rnacentral:rRNA from 1 species
UACCAGACUCCUACGGGAGGCAGCAGUGAGGAAUAUUGGUCAAUGGGCGAGAGCCUGAACCAGCCAAGUCGCGUGAAGGAUGACGGCCCUACGGGUUGUAAACUUCUUUUGUCAGGGAGCAAUUGAGUCCACGUGUGGGCUUAGCGAGAGUACCUGAAGAAAAAGCAUCGGCUAACUCCGUGCCAGCAGCCGCGGUAAUACGGAGGAUGCGAGCGUUAUCCGGAUUUAUUGGGUUUAAAGGGUGGGCAGGCGGGUGAGUGAGACAGGUGUGAAAGCCUCGGGCCUCACCCGGGGCCCGCCGUUGAAACUGGCAGUCUCGAGUUGGAGAGAAGUAUGCGGAAUGCGCGGUGUAGCGGUGAAAUGCAUAGAUAUCGCGCAGAACUCCGAUUGCGAAGGCAGCAUGCCGGCUCCACACUGACGCUGAGGCACGAAAGCGUGGGUAUCGAACAGGAUUAGAUACCCUUGUAUG